rnacentral:rRNA from 1 species
GAUGAACGCUAGCGACAGGCUUAACACAUGCAAGUCGAGGGGCAGCGAGGGCGUAGCAAUAUGCCUGUCGGCGACCGGCGCACUGGUGAGUAACACGUAUGCGACCUGCCCCCUACAGGGGUAUAACCCGUAGAAAUGCGGACUAAUCCCCCAUAGUCCUGGAGGCUGCAUGGCUUUCAGGGGAAAGGCCAGCCGGUAGGGGAUGGGCAUGCGGCGCAUUAGCUAGUUGGCGGGGCAACGGCCCACCAAGGCGACGAUGGGUAGGGGUUCUGAGAGGAAGGUCCCCCACAUUGGAACUGAGACACGGUCCAAACUCCUACGGGAGGCAGCAGUGAGGAAUAUUGGUCAAUGGUCGCGAGACUGAACCAGCCAAGUAGCGUGCAGGACGACGGGCCCUCUGGGUUGUAAACUGCUUUUAGUUGGGAAUAAAAGGCGGUACGUGUACCGCGUAUUGUAUGUCCCAUCAGAAAAAGGACCGGCUAAUUCCGUG